AGGGCUGACUGCCACUGGGGAAGGGUCUCUGGUUGGAGAUUCCUCCCUUGUGGAGUUUUCCCUGCAAGCCUGGAUCUUCAGAGAUGGCCACAAAACCAGAACACUGGCACAGAGGGACAUGAGCCAGCUGAUUCAGGAGGAUGUAUGGAUGAAGGAAGCAGCUGUUCUCAAACAAAUCAGACUGCCAUGCCCGGAAAUGAAAUAUAGAGAGUCUAUCUAUUCAGCUGGUGUGCCUGGAGCAUAAUGAUGCUGUUACACAGAUCAACCGUGUUGUCAUCAGAGAAAUUAAGAACAGGCUGAUUUAGUGGCUGUCUCAGGAAGGAAACCUGUAGAGGAAACCCUGUAAGUAUUUUGGCUGUGCUUUAUCUGCCCUUCAAACCUCCUGCUGCUGUCUUAACUCCUAGCAGGUAAAUUGGAAGAUAUGUGUUCAGCCAAACAAUGGGUGCACUGCUAAAUGAGUCACUGUCAUGGGAAGUUUUCAGCAAAGGGUGGAUGUGGCACUGAGGGACCUGGCUUAGUGGUGUGGUGGUGACAGGUUGACUGUUGGACCUGAGGAUCUUAAUGGUUUUUUCCAGCCUUAAUGAGUAGAUGAUAGACAAACUUGGUCAGUGAGGCUGCUGUAGCAAAGCUCUUGCUGAGGCACGUUCCCCAUGUGUGCCUCCAUGAAUUCAGCAGCCACAGCUGCUUUGCUUUGCCAGCUUGGAAAUGCUCAGUUUCAUCUUCUCCAGCUGUAAAUCAUGUUGCUUAAUUAAUCCUCAUUAAGUGUUGUGGGCAUCUCUCAAGCUCACUUAACUCUUUAUUUAAUUACAGCAGCGUAACAUAUAAUGUUCUCUGUUUGAAGGGAUGCUUUAUGCAAUGGUUUAAUCCAGAAACUGAAAGAAUUAAUUAGUUCCUAGAAUAUGUCUCUAAACGGGUGGCUAAUUAAGCUGUGUGUUUAUCGCAAGCGCCUGGACUCAUCAGCCAUCAUAAUCUACUGCUGAUACUGCGCGGAAUCAGAAACACACUGCAUGGUUCUGUGGUUCUCAGAUCUCUGUAGGCUCUUCCUCUUCUAUCAACCGAAGGCCUGGCCAACACCCAGACAAUCUCACAGACUGCUCUUGUUCCAGAAGUGUCUCCCUGACAGCUGCCCCGCUGCACCCCAGCCCUGGGGUCAGGCUCUGACUCCUGCAGCAUGGUUUCCAUCUGUGCAGCUUUCUGCCAUGCCCUUUCCCUUUGCUGCAGUGGGUGCUCCCUCAGCAGCACAACUGGAAGUGUACAGUGAUAACUGUAACAGGGCAUGCUAGAUGAGUGUUGUCUUCCUGCCCUGUACAGACACAGUCAAACGCUCUUUGCACACAGAGCCUGUCUGAUCUUCUAUGCAAAGUUCCAUGGAUGUUCAUCGCUGUUUCUCAAACUGAACAGGGCAGUUUAGAUACAUCAGCAAACCUUCCACAUGCAGAACACAUGAGUUUUGCUGCUAGGAGACAGAGCAGAACAUGAUGAUCUUCAGAGACUCAAAAACAAGCGCCGAGAUGGGAAUUACUCGCAGGCAGCAUGCAGCUUUCAUUCAUACUUCAGGAAUCUGCUUCAUCCAAAUGGAGAGAAAAUCCAGCUGGCCCCAAGCCCCACCAAGCAUAGAAGCUGCUUUUCCGGUACAUAUGGCAGUACCAUUCAAAGAGCUAUGACAAUGAUGCUGUUUAUAGCUCUGAAAAUGGCGCUGCCAUCUGCACCACGGCCGUGGCUCUGCUCCCCCGAGGCUCAGCACAGGGCGAUCCCAGCCCUGCUCUUCCACCUGCUCUG